CCUACGGGUGGCAGCAGUGAGGAAUAUUGGUCAAUGGGCGGGAGCCUGAACCAGCCAAGCCGCGUGAGGGAAGAAGGUACAGCGUAUCGUAAACCUCUUUUGUCAGGGAACAAAGGCGGGGACUAGUCCCCGGAUGAGGGUACCUGAAGAAAAAGCAUCGGCUAACUCCGUGCCAGCAGCCGCGGUAAUACGGAGGAUGCGAGCGUUAUCCGGAUUUAUUGGGUUUAAGGGGUGCGCAGGCGGUCUGUUAAGUCAGCGGUCAAAGCCCGGGGCUCAACCCCGGCCCGCCGUUGAAACUGGCAGUCUCGAGUUGGAGAGAAGUAUGCGGAAUGCGCGGUGUAGCGGUGAAAUGCAUAGAUAUCGCGCAGAACUCCGAUUGCGAAGGCAGCAUGCCGGCUCCACACUGACGCUGAGGCACGAAAGCGUGGGUAUCGAACAGGAUUAGAUACCCUAGUAGUC
rnacentral:rRNA from 1 species